rnacentral:rRNA from 1 species
GAUGAACGCUGGCGGCGUGCCUAAUACAUGCAAGUCGAGCGAACAGACGAGGAGCUUGCUCCUUCGACGUUAGCGGCGGACGGGUGAGUAACACGUAGGUAACCUACCUAUAAGACUGGGAUAACUUCGGGAAACCGGAGCUAAUGCCGGAUAAUAUUUCGAACCGCAUGGUUCGAUAGUGAAAGAUGGCUUUGCUAUCACUUAUAGAUGGACCUGCGCCGUAUUAGCUAGUUGGUAAGGUAACGGCUUACCAAGGCAACGAUACGUAGCCGACCUGAGAGGGUGAUCGGCCACACUGGAACUGAGACACGGUCCAGACUCCUACGGGAGGCAGCAGUAGGGAAUCUUCCGCAAAGGGCGAAAGCCUGACGGAGCAACGCCGCGUGAGUGAUGAAGGUCUUCGGAUCGUAAAACUCUGUUAUUAGGGAAGAACAAACGUGUAAGUAACUGUGCACGUCUUGACGGUACCUAAUCAGAAAGCCACGGCUAACUACGUG